UAUGUGAUCGUCUCUCGCAUAUCAAUAAGCGGAGGAAAAGAAACUAACAAGGAUUCCCCUAGUAACGGCGAGUGAAGCGGGAAGAGCUCAAAUUUGAAAUCUUAAAGGGUUUCCCUUUACGAAUUGUAGUUUAAAGAAGUGUUUUCUGCUGAGGUUUUGGUAAAAGUUCUUUGGAAUAGGACAUCAUAGAGGGUGAGAAUCCCGUAUUUGACCUUUACUUUCAACUUUGUGAUACACUUUCAAAGAGUCGGAUUGUUUGGGAAUGCAGUCCAAAAUGGGUGGUAAAUUUCAUCUAAAGCUGAAUAUUGGCGAGAGACCGAUAGCGAACAAGUACCGUGAGGGAAAGAUGAAAAGAACUUUGAAAAGAGAGUUAAACAGUACGUGAAAUUGUCAAAAGGGAAGCGUUUGACACCAGUGUUGUUUUUCUGAAAAUCAAUUAAAGAACUGUUUAUGCUAAGUUGUUUAGACUUUAUCAGCUAACUGUUUAGUUUUGAGCUUUUCUUUAAUGCACUUUUCAGUUAACAAGUCAACAUCAAUUUCUUUUGCUGUAAAAAAGCUUGAGGAAGGUGGCUUGAGAUUCGUCUUAAGUGUUUAUAGCCUCUUGCCUAUGCAGUCGGAGAGAUUGAGGUCUGCAGCGUAGAUCCUUCGGGGCUAAAUGCAUUUGUGCUAAGUUAUAGCAUUUUAUAGACAACUUGUUGACUAUGAUUUGUCUUGUAGCUUACUCGCUUAUGUUAUUUUACCUACGCUUAGGAUGUUGAGUCGUAGAGCACGCAG
rnacentral:rRNA from 1 species